AAAUUGAAGAGUUUGAUCAUGGCUCAGAUUGAACGCUGGCGGCAGGCCUAACACAUGCAAGUCGAACGGUAACAGGAAACAGCUUGCUGUUUCGCUGACGAGUGGCGGACGGGUGAGUAAUGUCUGGGAAACUGCCUGAUGGAGGGGGAUAACUACUGGAAACGGUAGCUAAUACCGCAUAACGUCGCAAGACCAAAGAGGGGGACCUUAGGGCCUCUUG
rnacentral:rRNA from 1 species